CAGUAGCCGCGGUAAUACGUAGGGUGCGAGCGUUAAUCGGAAUUACUGGGCGUAAAGCGUGCGCAGGCAGUUAUAUAAGACAGAUGUGAAAUCCCCGGGCUCAACCUGGGACCUGCAUUUGUGACUGUAUAGCUAGAGUACGGUAGAUGGGGAUGGAAUUCCGCGUGUAGCAGUGAAAUGCGUAGAUAUGCGGAGGAACACCGAUGGCGAAGGCAAUCCCCUGGACCUGUACUGACGCUCAUGCACGAAAGCGUGGGGAGCAAACAGGAUUAGAUACCCCCGUAGUCCCUGUCUCUUAUAC
rnacentral:rRNA from 1 species